rnacentral:rRNA from 1 species
AGAGUUUGAUCCUGGCUCAGAUUGAACGCUGGCGGUAGGCUUAACACAUGCAAGUCGAGCGAGAAAGUAUCUUCGGAUAUGAGUAGAGCGGCGGACGGGUGAGUAACGCGUAGGAAUCUACCUAGUAGAAGGGGAUAGCCCGGGGAAACUCGGAUUAAUACCGUAUACCUCCUAAGGGAGAAAGAGGGCCUCUCUUGAAGCUCUCGCUACUAGAUGAGCCUGCGUAAGAUUAGCUUGUUGGUAAGGUAAUGGCUUACCAAGGCUACGAUCUUUAGCUGGUCUGAGAGGACGAUCAGCCACAUUGGGACUGAGACACGGCCCAGACUCCUACGGGAGGCAGCAGUGGGGAAUAUUGGACAAUGGGCGCAAGCCUGAUCCAGCCAUACCGCGUGUGUGAAGAAGGCCUUCGGGUUGUAAAGCACUUUAAGCAGGGAGAAAAAGCAAUAAGUUAAUACCUUAUUGCCGUGAUGUUACCUGCAGAAUAAGCACCGGCUAAUUCCGUGCCAGCAGCCGCGGUAAUACGGAAGGUGCAAGCGUUAAUCGGAAUUACUGGGCGUAAAGCGCGCGUAGGUGGUUUGUUAAGUUGGAUGUGAAAGCCCUGGGCUCAACCUAGGAACUGCAUCCAAAACUAACUCACUAGAGUACGAUAGAGGGAGGUAGAAUUCAUAGUGUAGCGGUGGAAUGCGUAGAUAUUAUGAAGAAUACCAGUGGCGAAGGCGGCCUCCUGGAUCUGUACUGACACUAAGGUGCGAAAGCGUGGGUAGCGAACAGGAUUAGAUACCCUGGUAGUCCACGCCGUAAACGAUGACAACUAGCUGUUGGGAGACAAUGUCUUUCAGUGGCGCAGCUAACGUUUUAAGUUGUCCGCCUGGGGAGUACGGCCGCAAGGCUAAAACUCAAAUGAAUUGACGGGACCCGCACAAGCGG